UACGUAGGGUGCAAGCGUUAAUCGGAAUUACUGGGCGUAAAGCGUGCGCAGGCGGUUCGGCAAGAAAGGUGUGAAAUCCCAGGGCUUAACCUUGGAAUGGCACUUUUAACUGCCGGGCUAGAGUAUGUCAGAGGGGGGUAGAAUUCCACGUGUAGCAGUGAAAUGCGUAGAGAUGUGGAGGAAUACCGAUGGCGAAGGCAGCCCCCUGGGAUAAUAUUGACGCUCAGGCACGAAAGCGUGGGGAGCAAACAGG
rnacentral:rRNA from 1 species